UUAUGCCUGCGUUGUUCGCGAAGGGUCAAUGCUCUUGAACCUAAUUCUUUAGAGGGAUUUUUAUAUCCGGGUCUGUAGGUCACGCUUCUUCGGAAGAAGACCAAAUUGCCCGUGCGAGAACCCACGUUUACCGUGGUUCUAAGCGCUUCUCCCAGACGGCAAACGCGGGUAUUUU
rnacentral:other from 1 species